UUAAAAAGCUCGUAGUUGGAUUUCUGGGAAGGCGCCAAUGCUAGCUUCUUGCUUUCGCAACGGCACCUUUCCAUCCUUCUGUUAGCGCCUCUUGGCAUUCAUUUGCUGGUGGCGGGCUCAGAUAUUUUACCUUGAGAAAAUUAGAGUGUUUCAGGCAGGCUACGCCGGAAUACAUUAGCAUGGAAUAAUGGAAUAGGACUGAGGUCUCUUUGUUGGUUUGAGGGACUCCAGUAAUGAUUAAUAGGGACAGUUGGGGGCAUUAGUAUUUAUUAGUCAGAGGUGGAAUUCUAUGAUUUGAUAAAAGACUAACUUAUGCGAAAGCAUUUGCCAAGGAUGUUUUCAUUAAUCAAGAACCGAAAGUUAGGGGAUCNAAGACGAUCAGAUACCGUCCUAGUCUUAACCAUAAACUAAUGCCGACUCGGGAUUGGGAAGUGAAGAACUAUCCGCUCUC
rnacentral:rRNA from 1 species